rnacentral:rRNA from 1 species
GACGAACGCUGGCGGCGUGCUUAACACAUGCAAGUCGAGCGGUAAGGCCCUUUCGGGGGUACACGAGCGGCGAACGGGUGAGUAACACGUGGGUGACCUGCCCUCAGCUCUGGGAUAAGCCUGGGAAACCGGGUCUAAUACUGGAUAUGACUCCAUGACGCAUGUUGUGGGGUGGAAAGCCUUGUGCGGCUGAGGAUGGGGCCCGCGGCCUAUCAGCUUGUUGGUGGGGUGANGGCCUACCAAGGCGACGACGGGUAGCCGGCCUGAGAGGGCGACCGGCCACACUGGGACUGAGACACGGCCCAGACUCCUACGGGAGGCAGCAGUGGGGAAUCUUGCGCAAUGGGCGAAAGCCUGACGCAGCGACGCCGCGUGAGGGAUGACGGCCUCGG